rnacentral:rRNA from 1 species
CCUACGGGUGGCAGCAGUGGGGGAUAUUGCACAAUGGGGGGAACCCUGACGCAGCGAUGCCGCGUGGGUGAAGGAGGGCUUCGGAGCGUAAAGCCCUAUCGGACGGGAAGAAGAUGACGGUAGCUGCCAAAGAAGCCCCGGCGAACUACGUGCCAGCAGCCGCGGUAAUACGUAGGGGGCAAGCGUUAUCCGGAUUUACUGGGCGUAAAGGGGGCGCAGACGGAAAUGCAAGACAGGAGUGAAAGCCCGGGGCUCAACCCCGGGACUGCCCUUGGAACUGCAUGGCUUGAGUAAUGGAGAGGCUAGCGGAAUACCGAGUGUAGCGGUGAAAUGCGUAGAUAUUGGGAGGAACACCGGUGGCGAAGGCGGCCUGCUGGACAGUGACUGACGUUGAGGCCCGAAGGCGUGGGGAGCAAACAGGAUUAGAUACCCCAGUAGUC